AGCGAACGCUGGCGGCAGGCCUAACACAUGCAAGUCGAACGGGGAAAGCUUUCGGGUGAGUACUAGUGGCGCACGGGUGAGUAACGCGUGGAUAAUCUGCCUUAGAGUGGGGGAUAACUAGUCGAAAGAUUAGCUAAUACCGCAUAAGACCACAAGAACUGCGGUUCAAGAGGUCAAAGGUUUUUCGCUCUAAGAUGAGUCCGCGUAAGAUUAGCUAGUUGGUGAGGUAACGGCUCACCAAGGCAACGAUCUUUAACUGGUCUGAGAGGAUGAUCAGUCACACUGGAACUGAGACACGGUCCAGACUCCUACGGGAGGCAGCAGUAGGGAAUAUUGCACAAUGGAGGAAACUCUGACGCAGCGACGCCGCGUGAGUGAUGAAGGCCUUCGGGUCGUAAAGCUCUGUCGCAGGGGAAUAACACAAUGAAUGUACCCUGUAAGAAAGGAUCGGCUAACUUCGUGCCAGCCGCCGCCGUAAAAC
rnacentral:rRNA from 1 species